rnacentral:rRNA from 1 species
UACGUAGGGUGCAAGCGUUAAUCGGAAUUACUGGGCGUAAAGCGCACGUAGGCGGCUUUCUAAGUCGGGGGUGAAAUCCUGGAGCUCAACUCCAGAACUGCCUUCGAUACUGGAAAGCUCGAGUCCGGGAGAGGUGAGUGGAACUGCGAGUGUAGAGGUGAAAUUCGUAGAUAUUCGCAAGAACACCAGUGGCGAAGGCGGCUCACUGGCCCGGUACUGACGCUGAGGUGCGAAAGCGUGGGGAGCAAACAGG